CAAGCGGAGGAGCAUGUGGUUUAAUUCGAUGCAACGCGAAGAACCUUACCUGCUCUUGACAUCCAGAGAAUUUUGCAAAGAUGCUUUAGUGCCUUCGGGAACCGUGAGACAGGUGCUGCAUGGCUGUCGUCAGCUCGUGUUGGGAAAUGUUGGGUUAAGUCCCGCAACGAGCGCAGCCCUUAUCCUUUGUUGCCCGCGAUACGGCCGGGGACUCACAGGAUACUGCCGGUGAUAAAACGGAGGAAAGGGGGGAUGACCUCAAGUCAUCAUGGCCCUUGCGACUAGGGCUACACACGUGCUACAGUGGCGAAGACAAAGAGAAGCGACCUCGCGAGAGCAAGCGGACCUCAGAAAGUGCGUCGAAUGCAGGAUGGGAGUCUGCAACUCGACUCCGUGAACUCGGAAUCGCUCGUAAUCGUGAAUCAGAAUGCCACGGUGAAUACGUUCCCGGGCCUUGUACACACC
rnacentral:rRNA from 1 species